AAAAAAAAAAAAAAAAAACAAAAAAAAAAGUUUGAGCGAGAGAGAGAGAGUGAGAGAGAGAGAGAGAGAGAGCGUUCUCUAGCUAACGGCGUUGGGUCUCCCUCAUCAUCAAGCGCUCUCGUCGAUGAUGAUUUUUAAAGAAGGAGGAAGAACACAAAUUAGGGUUAGGGUUGAUGAUGACUCAAACAACAACAACAACAACGGACAUCGCAACAAACCAUCUUCUAAUUCUCUCUAUUUGCGGGUCGUGGUUUCAAUAAUAAACGCCAAACGAUGUCUGACAUGGUUUGAACUUUGAAGGUGAAGACGAAGAAGAAGACUCUUGACUCCUUGAGGAACAAACCCGUCAGAUCACACAGAGACGUCUUCUAUUUCUUUGACGAAAGGAGUGUUUUAAGCAGAUCGGAGAUGGUUUGAAGAAUGAUGAAGGAUACUCAAUACUGCUUAAUGUUUUCUUUCUAUCAUCAGCACCACAAUCCAUAAGUGAAGACCGAGAGAAUGAUCAGUUUGAAUAACGAUGAAGAGGAAGAAGACUCACACUGCCCCGACACCAUUAGUAUUAGACUGAUUUGACGACGGCCAAGUAAUAAAGAUCAGAGAUGGUUUUAAGAAUGAUGAAGAAGACGACUCAAGACUGUUUGAGGACUUUCAUCUUUAAACAUUGGCUAAGUAACCAGCCUGCAUACAGGAAGACAGAAAUCUUCUAUUGCUUUAACAAAAGAUGUGUCUAACUACGCAGAUCCAGAGAGAUAUGAUUUGAAGAAUGAAUGCAACUUUCAUUAUAAAAACUUGGCCGAGGGGCGUGCUCACGGUUCUGAUUCUUUCCUCCGAUGAUCGGAGGUAUGUUGUUUGGUUUGAAGAAUGAAGUUCCUUUUCCUCCGAUGGAGAAAAAUGCUCUGUUUUCUCUGUAACUAAUCUGAUAUUACUAAUCUCAAUCGGAGGUAUGUGGUUUGGUCUCUAGAAUGAAUGGAGGAAAAUUCUCUGUUUUCUCUAAACUACAUCUGCAUGAGACAUCUUCAAUAGCUUCAACAGAAGUUUCUAAGCAGGUACGUAGCUUCACAAGGAUCUAAGCGGAAAGAGGAUGUUGCUGCACAAGCCGGAAUUGUUGUUAAGGCGAAAGUGAGUCAAAAUUUGAAGUUCUGACCCGCGGAUGAUGAUGACCCUAACAACAAGAAUAGUAAAAACCCUCUUCGUCUGGAGGAUACGCUGGGCAAGUGAUGGAUGAUUGGCGGAGGACGACGUUACAUGUUCAUUUCCAUGACGUUUCUAUCAUCUGAUUUGACGAGGACCAAGUAAACAAGAUCAGUUUGGAUAACGAUGAAGAAGUAGACUCAGACUGGUUAAGG